rnacentral:rRNA from 1 species
UACGUAGGGUGCGAGCGUUGUCCGGAAUUAUUGGGCGUAAAGAGCUUGUAGGCGGUCUGUCGCGUCUGCCGUGAAAAUCCGGGGGCUCAACCCCGGACUUGCGGUGGGUACGGGCAGACUAGAGUGUGGUAGGGGAGACUGGAAUUCCUGGUGUAGCGGUGAAAUGCGCAGAUAUCAGGAGGAACACCGAUGGCGAAGGCAGGUCUCUGGGCCACUACUGACGCUGAGAAGCGAAAGCAUGGGGAGCGAACAGG